rnacentral:rRNA from 1 species
UACGGAGGGUGCAAGCGUUAAUCGGAAUUACUGGGCGUAAAGGGUGCGUAGGUGGUUUGAUAAGUUAUCUGUGAAAGCCCUGGGCUCAACCUGGGAAGGCCAGAUAAGACUGUUGGACUCGAGUAUGGGAGAGGGUAGUGGAAUUUCCGGUGUAGCGGUGAAAUGCGUAGAGAUCGGAAGGAACACCAGUGGCGAAGGCGGCUACCUGGCCUAAUACUGACACUGAGGCACGAAAGCGUGGGGAGCAAACAGG